rnacentral:tRNA from 1 species
GGGCCUGUAGCUCAGUGGUUAGAGCAGUCGGCUCAUAACCGAUUGGUCGCUGGUUCAAUCCCAGCCGGGCCCACCA